UUCCUGAUAGCUCAAAGGCAGAGCAUAUGGCUGUUAACCAUUUGGUUGUAGGUUCAAGUCCUACUCAGGAAG
rnacentral:tRNA from 1 species